CUCACCUCCUGGAUUCUUGUUUGAAAAGCCAAAGUCAACCGGUGAAGAAUAAAAUGGUUGAUGAAAUGUUUUACUGCAAGAUGCAUAGCCAGGUAUGCUUCAGUGCUUUGGGCACCCAGGGCACAGCAGGAGCAGAUGCAGGUAAGGAACUCAUUCCAGGUGCCUUGGAGCCACAAAGAUGAUAGUACCAGUGCUUCCAGCCAGGUUCCCAGGACAGUCCAAGUCGUCACAGAAUCAUGGAACAGUUGGGGUUGGAAGGGGCCUCUGCAGUUCAUCUGAUUCAACCCCUCUGCUCAAGCAGGGCAAGUGAGGGUUUGUUGUCCAGGACCGUGUCAAGGCAGCUUUUAAAUAUCUCCAGGGAUAGAGACUCCACAACCUCUCUGGGCAACCUAUUCAAGUGCUUGGUUACACUCACAGUAAAAAAACUGCUUCCUGACUUCAGAGGGAACCUCCUGUGUUUCAGUCAGUGUUUAUUGCCUCUGGUCCUGUCACUGGGCACCACUGAGAAGAGCCUGACUCCAUCCUCUCUGCACUUCACUUCAGCUUCUUCCCAGACGUCAUUACCAACUGAGAGAUCCCAGCUAACAUCCUGAGGAUUCCAAACACCAAGAGAGAAAUACAAGAACUAACAGCAUUGCUCACCAGUCCUAUGUGCUGAACCCAGUUUCUAAUGCCACCUGUCAAAACUGUCCUCUUU